rnacentral:rRNA from 1 species
CACGUAGGGUGCGAGCGUUGUCCGGAAUUAUUGGGCGUAAAGAGCUCGUAGGCGGUGUGUCGCGUCGGCCGUGAAAACUUGCAGCUUAACUGCAGGCUGGCGGUCGAUACGGGCAGGCUGGAGUUCGGUAGGGGAGACUGGAAUUCCUGGUGUAGCGGUGAAAUGCGCAGAUAUCAGGAGGAACACCGGUGGCGAAGGCGGGUCUCUGGGCAACAACUGACGCUGAGGAGCGAAAGCGUGGGGAGCGAACAGG